AGCGAACGCUGGCGGCAGGCUUAACACAUGCAAGUCGAGCGGGCGUAGCAAUACGUCAGCGGCAGACGGGUGAGUAACGCGUGGGAACAUACCUUUUGGUUCGGAACAACACAGGGAAACUUGUGCUAAUACCGGAUAAGCCCUUACGGGGAAAGAUUUAUCGCCGAAAGAUUGGCCCGCGUCUGAUUAGCUAGUUGGUGAGGUAAUGGCUCACCAAGGCGACGAUCAGUAGCUGGUCUGAGAGGAUGAUCAGCCACAUUGGGACUGAGACACGGCCCAAACUCCUACGGGAGGCAGCAGUGGGGAAUAUUGGACAAUGGGCGCAAGCCUGAUCCAGCCAUGCCGCGUGAGUGAUGAAGGCCCUAGGGUUGUAAAGCUCUUUUGUGCGGGAAGAUAAUGACGGUACCGCAAGAAU
rnacentral:rRNA from 3 species